UGAUCGAAAGUUAUCCGUGUAGAGUUGCUUCGUGCUCGUUAGUGUGCGGAGUGGUGCUCAUGCGGUGUAAUCGGCGAGCUAUGGUUGUAAUGACCAUACCUUGCUCAGGCUAAGCCAUAUUUCUCGCAGUCAUUUGCUCCAUGCGAGACGAUGAUGGCCGUCAGUGUUGAUCUCAGAUGCGGCUCCGAGCAUGUGUUGCUUGUUGGUGAUAUGAAGGUUGGGGCCGGCAUCGAAAGCUAGUGAGAUUGAUGCUAGGUGGUUGUCACUGUGU
rnacentral:misc_RNA from 1 species